ACACACUGCACUGUGAAACAUUUGACCCGUGUGGUCAGAUUCAGGCAGCGUUCAAGGGAGAGGGAAGCUGUGAUGGACAGUGCUUUAAGUCAAACCCCCUUCCUGUUUUUGACUCCACAAUGGACCGCAGAAGGAAGGUACUAUAUCAGAAUGGGCUUUUGAGUUUUGUCUCCCUUCCCCCUCCACUGUGCCCCUUCAGUAUGCAGAAGCCCUUAACUUUAGACCCAGGAAUAAGGAACCUAUGUCUGUUUAAGGGUUUCUGAACUGAAAAUCCCACCGCCAUCGGCCAUGGUGAGUGGGACUGAUGGGAGUUGUUGACAGUCUAACAUCUGAAGGGCCACAGGUCUGUCGCCUCUGUUUUCCUGCCCUACCUUAGUGGUUUUACAAAUUAUGGUGACAAUAUAUAUUUACUUCCCAUCCUUCACCAUAAGGUCCCAGGGUGCGUAGCCAUCAAGUUUGCCAUUAUUUCUAAUUUCUUAUUAAUCAAAUAUGAGUAAGCUCAGACAGUCAUUAAAACACCAACACCACCUUGGUGAAUUUUAUUGUAUACUGGAAGAAUCAUGGACUUGAAUAAAAAUGAUUUAAUUAAUAUCCAUAUAUAGAGAGAAUCUCUAGCAUUUUUUGGUGUCACAUAUCUAGAUUAUGAAAUAUAUUCCUUAGGUUUAGCUUUCUCUGUUUACUUGAUGCUAUUAUGGAUAGUUUUAAUGGCUUAAUUAAAAUUCUCCACCUUGUGCAGAAGAUUUGGGCUAGGAUCCAAACAGCUAAUAUGCAUUGCAUACCCACUGGGUUUGUGAUUGCCUUAAAAAAAAAAGUUCGUUUUUGAACAGCAGGCGCCGGGGCCAUAUCACAAAAUGCAUCUCAAAUUUUUCAAACAUUGGUUUGCCAUAGAUCACAGGGGCAUCUAUGUAUAACUUGCUGUUGAAAUGGAAUACUCAGGAUGAAACGGUGAAAUCUGCUAUGAUUAAAUGGGCACAAGAUGUUGGACAUAAUAUUAUGUUUGCUGACUGGGAACAGUUAUGGACCACAGGUAUGAAGUUUACAGCAUGUAAUGUCCUAAGAGAGAAUAUUAUGAAAAUGAUAUACAGGUGGUACAUGACCCCAGUCAAGCUUGCAAAAAUCUAUCAUUUGCCCGACAAUAAAUGCUGGAAAUGUAAAGAAACUGAAGGUACAUUCUUUCACCUUUGGUGGACGUGCCCAAGGAUUAAGGCCUUCUGGGAAAUGAUAUAUAAUGAACUGAAAAAGGUAUUUAAACAUACCUUCUUGAAGAAACCAGAGGCCUUUCUCCUAGGCAUAGUCGGCCAAUUGGUGCCAAAGAAGGACAGAACUUUUUUUAUGUAUGCCACAACAGCAGCAAGAAUACUCAUUGCAAAGUAUUGGAAGACACAAGAUCUACCCACUCUGGAAGAAUGGCAGAUGAAGGCGAUGGACUAUAUGGAACUGGCAGAAAUGACUGGCAGAAUCCAAGACCAGGGAGAAGAGUCGGUGGAAGAAGAUUGGAAGAAAUUCAAAGAUUAUCUACAGAAAUAUUGUAAAAUUAAUGAAUGUUAGAAUGAUGUUGGAUAGUAAUUAAGUGGUUUCCAGCUGUAAUGCUUUAAGGGAAUAUGAAAAAGGGUUAUAAAUAGGUAAAAUUUAAUAUUAUUACUUUUAAAGGAUUUGCUGAACCAACAGAUUGAAGUGGAAUACAAAAAGGGAGGUAUGAGGAGGUCCGGGAAAUAAGUCAAAGGAAAAUAAGUAAUGGAAAAUCUGUGUGUUUUUAACUAUUUUUAUUUUGUAUUUUUGUCAUUCCCCCCCCAUUUUUAUUGUAAUAUUUUUAAAAAUCUUAAUAAAUAUCGUAUAUUAGAUCACAGGGGCCUGAUACUUUCAGAACCAGAGUCCAAAUGUCCUUUAGGUGUGCAGAAUUGAAAUGUUGCUAUCCUUUGGGUCCCUGUCGCAAUUGAUCUUGGCAUAAAUUGGUAGGUGCUGUCCUUGGUGCUGAAGACAAACUUCCACUAUUCAAAAGUGGGUUAUUUCUGGCUGACUCAGUGGCAGGCACUGUAGUGCAAUGAACUGUGUGGAUCCAGAGCAGAUUCUUUCCCAACAGAGGGACACAGAACAUGGGGAUGGACUAUUUAACCCAACGUUUCUCAAAGCUGGAGGCUGAGGACCACUAUGUUCACCCUCUUUCUGGUGGGCUUCACUGAGAUGACUUUGCCUUUCAGUUGAACCAACACCAGUGCCAAUAGCUCUUUGCAUGCACAGCACAUAGGUUCAUGAGAGUAGGUGCUUGGCUAGAGAGCAAGGUAGGAGUCUGUCUGUCCCAGGCAAAAUGGGAGGGGAGAAAAGGAAGGAAAGGGGAGAACAAAGAAGUUGGUCACUGCAGUAAAGAAUGAAGUAUUUCCAAAGGGAAAUAGAUAUCAGUGGAAAAUAAUAAGUCAAUAAGAAAAGUCCUGUUGGAUUAGGCCAAAGGCCUGUCUAGGCCAUCUGUGAUGGCUUGGGAUUCGGACUCGGAGGCUGAACCUGAGGAAUCCCAGCCUGCACAGGAGUCCCCGCCUCCAGAACCAGCUGAGCCCGGGCUGGGACUUGAGCCUGAAGGGCCCGCACCUGUGCUGGAUCCCCAGGUGCAGGCACCAGCUGAGUCUGCUCUGGCCCCUGAGGUGAUGGAAGGCCCAUUGCCUGCAGGUGCUCCACUCUCAGCCCCAUCAGGGGAAGGUGAGGUUGCCUCUGGGUCCAGUAACCCUCCAGCCUCUCCUGAGCUGCAGAGGCUCAGGGCAGAGAGGCGGAGGGAACUAAGUUCUCGCAGGAGGAGUGCUCGCCUCCAGGCCAGGAGAGGUGAGUCACCUGUGGAUCGGAACCACCCUAUGCCUCGGGGCAGAUAAAAGCCAGCCAGCCCAGUCCCAGGUUGCGGGAGCAACAUUGUUGGUAGCCUGUUCCUGCCUGCACCCUGUCCUGCUCUUCUGCCAGAGUUCCUGACCUCACCCGACUCCCUGCCUUGGACCCCGCUUCAGCCUUGACGGACAGCCUCCAUACCACACCCUCGACCUCGGACUGGACUUGGACCUCGCCGCAUGGUUAACCCUUGGGACCAGCACAGUAUCCUUCUGUUCUCAGAAGCCAGCCUAGAGACCUGUACUUCUCAAACAUUUAACUCCCACAACUGAUACUUAGGUGAAUACUGCCGCUGGCAGUAACAUUGCCCUCGAUAGCCUUUACCUCCAUGGAUCUGUCUAAUCCUUUUUAAAGGAUUAGUUAGUGGUCAUCACAGAGUUCCACAGUUUAACUAUGUGCUGUGUGAAGGAAGUAAUUUCUUUUUUUUGUCCUGAAUCAUCCAAAGUUCAGCUUCACUGAAGGGCCCUGAUACCUAGCUUUAGGAGAAAGAGAGGAAAAAUUCUUCCUGUUGUUGGGAAACUGUGCAUGUGCAGCUACUCACACAGAGUCAAUUAAGGUUUGGCAGAAAGCCAGAAGGCAAACAUAAGGAGUAAGUCUGCCUGGUGAUAACAGAGACAUGGAGAGAGUUCCCUGAUUGGUCAAGCUCUCUCAAGGGAGUGAUAAUUAAUGGCCUACUAACUGGAAUGCGUUAGUUCAGAGUUCAGAGGUUCAGAGUUCUGUGUGUCAGUGUAGGAGUUGUGAGUCGUGUCAGAGAGAGCUAGCAAAAGAUAUGUGUUCUGUUCCUGUAAAUAGUCCACUGUAUAUAAUAAACACCUAACUACAAGUUCCUGGUUCCUGCUUCGUCUAUCCUGUCUGCAGCCAAGUUGCCAAUUGCUUCCGUGGAUUCUGUGUGUACUCUGCUAGGUCUGGCUAAGGUCCUGCAACUAGUUGGAAAGUUGCGAAACACCAAUAGGUUUUGCCAAUACUGUCUCCUUUCUUCACCCCUAUACCUGAUCAGCAAUGUCAAUAAUGGGCAAUUCACUAUGCCAAACUUUGCUGCCAUCUGCCAUUGUUUUGUCAUGGUCUCCGUCCCCACACUGCCAUUUUGUGACUCUUAGGCCUCAGGAAAGUUCACCACUCUCAAGUCGGAGAUAGAAACCCUGAUUUGACCCAAAUGGGAACCUCUAGUGUUGCUUCCAGAGGUAUGAUUCACAUCUAUGAUUCAUAGCUGAAAUUUGACCUUUUUGCAUCUUGGAAUGAGUCACUUCCUUGGUCUUGCCUCUUUCCAUUCCAGAGGCACGCUCAGAGCAGUUAGUCACAAACAGAAACAAAUAGGGUGGUGAAUUCCUCUGAUGGUGAACCCAUUCUCCAGCCAAGGGCCACAUUCUCAAUUGGGCAACCUUCCAGGGGCCACAUGAUGUGAGUGGUGGAUAGACUGGGGUGGCUAGAAGCCUAAACAGCCACACCUUACAAUCUGUUGACGGUCCCACUUUAUAUGCAAAUAAAAGCAAAUAUUACAAAUAAAAGCCACCCAUCAUCAGUGCUCUCUUGCCCAAAGGGAAGGAAACAUGGGGUGACACCGACCCUGGAAGUUCUUGCCACUUAGGGAAGUUGGGGAGCCUGUUUGUUAAAAAGGUUCAAGUUUGUGGUGGAACUCUCAUUGAAUGUGUGCUCUUUCACUACUGUCUGGCUUGGGAAACUGAGUUUGCAGUUGAGACUUGGCUCCCGUUGAGCUCUCUGAUCAUAUUUUGGGUGGGGUGGUGAUCAACGCUGAGUGGGAAAGCACAACAUCUUGGUUUCAGUUCUAGAUAUGAUUGAAUACCACAAGUGUACAUUAGAGGGCAUCGUUUGCCUGUAAGUCAGAGUCUAGGCUAGCACAUCAUCUUCAAGCUACAGCAAAGUUACCCCAGAGAUGAUACCCGCCCCCUACAAGAAUCUUCACGUGAAAAGGUUUUUAUGCAGAGAGUGUAGCAUUCUGCAAGGUGUAAACUGUGUUGGUUGCCCAUUCUGUGCAUCCAUAGCAAAAUGAACACAAGUGCCAUACUUCACACUUGACGAGAUUAUCACAAGAUAUAAGCAAUCCACACACAACUGCAGCAGCAGCAACAACAACUACUACAGGUAGUAAGAGGGAACUCAUGGUGUGUGUGUGUGUGUGUGUGUGUGUGUGUGUGUGUGUGUUUUCUGGCCCAUGACAAUCUUGGGCAAAAUAGGUUUUGGCGCUUCAAAAACCUGCUGAACUUGUUUGACCUGAGAUUGUAGCAUUACAAAAUAAACAAAUGUGUGCCAAUCUGUGUACACUGUGUACAGCUGCACUGGCUCCCGGUGGAGUACAGGGUCAGAUUUAAGGUGCUGGUUUUGACCUUUAAAGCCCUUCACGGCCUAGGACCCUCGUACUUACGGGACCACUUCUCCCGGUAUGCCUCAAGGUCCAUAAAUAGCAACACCCUAGUGGUCCUGGGCCCUAAGGAAGUUAGAUUAGCCUCAACCAGAGCCAGGGCCUUUUCAACACUGGCUCCAGCCUGGUGGAACGCUCUGUCUCAUGAGACCAGGGCCCUGCGGGAUCUGAUUUCUUUCCGCAGGGCCUGUAAGACAGAGUUGUUCCACCUGGCCUUUGGCUUGGAGCCAAUUUGAUUCCCUCCCCCUCUUUUUCCUUUCUCCUCCUGUGAUGAGGCUGCAUUUUAAUAUUUUAAUCUUUCAAUAUUUUAAUUGUUGCAUUUUAAUCUUGUUUUUAAGUUGUAUUCAUUCAACUUGUUUUUAUUAUUGCUCAUUAGCCGCCCUGAGCCCGGCCUUGGCUGGGGAGGGCGGGGUAUAAAUAAAAAUAUUAUAAAUAAAAAUAUUAUUAUUAUUAUUAUUAUUAUUAUUAUUAUUAUUAUUACUACUACUACACCAUGGAACAAUGUCAGCCCUAUCAUAAACCAUUGAAAUCUCUAUAAAACCAUUGCUUUGCACAUCAGUGUGGCGUAAACAACAUAUGAAAGUAUCCGCAAGAUCUUUCACGCUUAAGCUACCUUUGGGAAAGAAGUGUUUUCUGUGGAAUAAGAAAAUGGCUCACCUUUCCACAAAUCAUGCCCAAGAGAUUGGUACUGUACAUGAUCCAGGGCACUCCUGGAUCCAACUCUGUCAUUGGAGGCCCAAGUGACUUCAACAGCAAGGAUCCAAUGCCAGUUUUGGCUGGAACACCCACUAUAACCAUUCCUAGAGAGGGAUAGCCCUGCUGCCGCGAUCCAUGUGUUGGUAACCUUAAGGCUGGGUUAUUCUAAUGUGCUUUGAUGGCGCUCCAUUAAAAUUGUCGUGGAAGCUGCAGCUGGAGCAGAAGGAAGCUGCUAAGUUGUCCAGUGGAGCACCCUAACACACACACACCAUGCUGAAGGAGCUGCACUGGCUGCCAAUUAGUCAAGGCGAAGGGGUUGGUUUUGGUCUACAUACAAAAUCUUGUUGUUUUGUUGUUUAGUCGUGUCCGACUCUUCGUGACCCCAUGGACCAGAGCAUGCCAGGCACUCCUGUCUUCCACUGCCUCCUGUAGUUUGGUCAUACUCAUGUUUGUAGCUUCGAGAACAUUGUCCAGCCAUCUCGUCCUCUGUCGUCCCCUUCUCCUUGUGCCCUCCAUCUUUCCCAACAUCAGGGUCUUUUCCAGGGAGUCUUCUCUUCUCGUGAGGUGGCCAAAGUAUUGGAGCCUCAGCUUCAGGAUCUGUCCUUCCAGUGAGCACUCAGGGCUGAUUUCCUUCAGAAUGGAUUUCCUUCAGAAUGGAAAUCCUAUAGAAAUCUUAUAGAAAUUUUAUAGAACUCUAAAAGGCCACAUUUGGCCAACAAAGCUUAGCAGCGUUGCUAGCCGCUCGGGUGCCCAGGGGGGCAUGCGCACCCUGCGGCCAGGGGCAGAACGAGCCACCCAUGGGGGCGAGGUGAGUCAAGGCAGAGUGUGCUGCGUGGAGCUUCUCCACAACCUCCCCCUCAGCUGUAGGGCGGCUGAGGCGGUGGGCAGACGCAAGCCCUGCGCUGAUCGAAAAAGCAAUGUAUAGCUUGCAGACAGUCCACCAGCCGCCUCCCCUUCAGCAGAGACGUGUGGCUCAGGCAUGCUGCAGGCCCUGCGGGUGUGGCGCCCAGUGCCCCCCGCCACACUUAGCUAUGCCUCUGGAUUAGGCAGAUUCAUGGAGGAGAGGGCUGUUGCAGGCUACUGGCCAUAAAGGCAGCGCUCUGCCUGCAAAGUUGGAGGCAGCAACUGGUUUCUGGAAAUCACUCAGUGCUCCUGCAGCGGUGUAGGAAGGGGGGGUGUAGUGGGUGCGGAAGUUAUUUUUCCAAAAACAUGUUUUUGCCAUUUUUUCACACCCACCCCCCCAGUGAUGACACCCGGGGCAGUCUGCACUCCCGCACCCCCCUUCCUACGCCACAGCCAAAGCCUAAGGUUCACCCACCCCUGUUAAAUAUUAAAGUAAUUAAUUAAACCCACUGAAACAGAUGAAGGGAUGCGGGUGGUGCUGUGGGUUAAACCACAGAGCCUAGGACUUGCCGAUCAGAAGGUCGGCGGUUCGAAUCCCCGUGACGGGUGAGCUCCCAUUGCUCGGUCCCAGCUCCUGCCAACCUAGCAGUUCGAAAGCACGUCAAAGUGCAAGUAGAUAAAUAGGUACUGCUCCGGCAGGAAGGUAAAUGGCGUUUUCGUGCGCUGCUCGAAAGCGGCUCGCCAGAAGCGGCUUAGUCAUGCUGGCCACAUGACCCGGAAGCUGUACGCCGGCUCCCUCGGCCAAUAAAGCGAGAUGAGCACCGCAGCCCCAGAGUCGGCCACGACUGGACCUAAUGGUCAGGGGUCCCUUUACCUUUACUGAAACAGACACAGCUAUAAUGCUGAGUUCAAGCUUCAACACUGAAACCCGUAUGUCCAUUUUUUUAGGUCAAAUCUAGCCAUCAAAUUUUCAAAAUUUUGUAAGGUAAGCCCAGCAAGCUCGCACAUGACACUGUUGCCUUGAAAUUUACUGACAUCAUGGGCACAGCCAAAGGGGAUGGUGAGGCAGCUGCCCCCCUAAAUCUAGUCAAUAAAUAAAAAUUCUUAACUGACCAGUCGUGUCACAGAUACCUCAGUUCUGUCCCUUCUAACUUAAAUCUGGUCCCUCCCACAACAUAAAUCCUACCUAUGCCCAGCACUGACUUAACUUAAAAUGGAAGCUCUGUUUUUUUUGAAAGCCAUACUUUCAUAUAUGAAUUUUGAAGUGAAAUCUGUAAAUGUCAUUAUUUUGAAAUUUCCUAUUUUUUUAAUUUCAAAAUUCCCCAGCAAAUUUUGAAUGUGGUGUCAGUUUCUCCUUUUGCGUAUAAUUCCCACACAGGAAGAUCUCCCACCCAAAGCAAAAGAGAAGUGCUACUGGUAGAAAUCCCAGUAAGACAACACUGAUCAGAAAACAGAAGCAGUCUUACAUCACACACCUGAUGUCAUUCACUCCUUUGUGAUGUCGCACCCCAGCAUCCUUGGCAGCAUUACUGAAAUAAUGAGGGGUGUUUCCUAGACAUAGUGAUGUUGAAGCCAUGGAGCCUGCAUCUGACCGGUCUUAAGAUAGAACCAGGCAGAAGGUGGC
rnacentral:lncRNA from 1 species